CUCUGGUUCUCCCAAUAACCAUCCUGACUCAAUCUCUCAUUUAGGACUUUCAACUCAUCAAGGUGAAAGGCAAGGAUAAUAUUUCAGAAUGAAAACAUUCGAUUUAUUGCCACAGAAUUCAUCGCCAAGAAUUUUCCAAACCACUUAGAGGUGAAUCACUUCAAAGAGAAGGACCAGAUUCUCAUGGACCCCACUGCCAUGCUGGCCAGACAUCUUGCUGCCAUUGUUUUCCUGUUAUUUACUCCCAAACAGGUAAAUUUCCAGAUCCUAAAAGGAGUUAUGCUAUAAAUAAGUUUUUGUAUGUGUGUUAGUGUGUGUGCAUGUAUUAUAGGGAUUUGAUUAUAAUUUUUAAUUAGCACAACUUCAGGUACACAUAUAUCAAAGGAACACUAUGAGUAUUUGGCAAUUAAUGUUUGUAAAUCACCUUGAGAUCCUUGAGGUAGACGAUGCUAUAUAAAUGAAUAAUGUGGUAAUAAAAUUAAUAAUGCAUGCAUUGACAUUCCCAAGCCAGUUGCCUGAAAAAGAUCUUGAAGUUGAAGGAGAGCUGUGCAAAAUGUAGCUAUCUAAAUAAGAAAAUAUUGUCAUACUCCCCUUAAGCUAUAAUGAAAAAUAUCUGCAAAAUACAGAAUACAAACAUAACCCAUGCCUUUGAUUUCUAAUAUAUGUAUGAAUGCUUAUCAUUUGGGUAAGUAAAUAUUUCACUAUUUGUGUAUAGUAAUUACAUCAAGAAUUAAAGACUGUAAUCAUUUAUCUGGGAUGAUAUUAUGUG
rnacentral:lncRNA from 1 species